GUGCUCACAUCAGCAGCACAAACACUAAAAUUGGAAUGAUCAGAGAAGAAUAAUAUGGCUCCAGCACAUGGAUGACAUACAAAUUCAUGAAGUGUUCCAUAUUAUU
rnacentral:snRNA from 1 species